UGAAGAGGAAGGAGGUUCUGAUGGCGAUGAUUCUUCGUCUGAGGAUGAUAAUCCUCAGACGAAGAAUCAUCGCCAUCAGAACCUCCUUUU
rnacentral:pre_miRNA from 11 species